UUCAUUUAUGUGCAUAUGUCACCUUCCAAUCCAGAGCUAACUAGGCCAAGGCUUAUUCUUCGAAUCACAUUUUGAAUUUUGUCCGUUAAACAACCGGAAAGGUAUAACAGCAUGAAAGAUAGGUGGACUUCUGAGAAGUAAUCAAGGCCUAGAUUUAGCACCUGAAGUGUGCAAAGUCUGCCCAUGCGCAAAUAACGGAAUCUAAACAAGAUACAAGUUACGGUGCUCUUACUGACACAGUACUAGGCUUGUACCAAAACCAACACAUUAUGAUUUCGAUAAAGGUUCGAGACGGAAUCGGCUGGAUUCACCCCCCAAGCACACGACCAGGUAAUUUGCAACUUCCUGUUUUGGCAAGAUAA